AAAGGGUACACUCGCCAGCAGUUUUGCCACGAGAGUACACCGAACAAAGAGACAGGGUCAUUUGUAACCUGAUGCGUCCACCCUACUGCUGUGUCCGGUUUCCAUUGGCUGGAACGGGACCUCACAUUCUGUAUUUGUCCUGAUUGGGAAGCAACUUAAAACUUUUUAAAAGAGGCGAAGGCAGAAGAGAACAAAGGAAGGAGAAAGUAACUUGUGGAAUGGUGAGAAAGGCAUGAGGCGAAUUCUCAGCCGUGACAAGGCUGAAGGCCAGCAGGAACAGGCUCUAGCAAAAUGGGUGCUGUGUCCCCUUCCUGCAUGUGGCAGAAAGUUGCAAAGGGCGUUUGGGCUGGGGAAGGGUCCUGUACACUCGCAACAGGAGGUGUAGAAUGAGCCCUGCAUUGAAUGUGUAAGCAUCCAAAGCUGUCACUGAGGUGAGAAGAGCCUUCAUUGGCAGCCUCAAAGAGAAAGGUGUGCUUGGAUGUAUGCACUGGACAUGCCGCCUAGGCCUACUGGACAUGC
rnacentral:antisense_RNA from 1 species